rnacentral:rRNA from 1 species
UACAGAGGUCCCAAGCGUUGUUCGGAUUUACUGGGCGUAAAGGGUGCGUAGGUGGCGGGGUAAGUCUGGUGUGAAAGCUCCGAGCUCAACUCGGAAAAGCAUUGGAAACUAUCCCGCUUGAGGGUCGGAGGGGAGACUGGAAUUCUCGGUGUAGCAGUGAAAUGCGUAGAUAUCUGGAGGAACACCGGUGGCGAAGGCGACAUCCUGGACCAACACUGACGCUGAGGAGCGAAAGCCAGGGGAGCAAACGGG